GAUCUUCCUCUGAAGAAUAGGCUUGUUGCUCUAUAGUGUUAGUGACCCAUUCCCUUUGACGAUCCCUAGGUGGAGAUGGGGCAUGAGGAUCCUCCAGGGGAAAAGCUCACUAUCACUGGGCAACAACCCUAGGCUAGGAGGCUUUACCAAGAUUCUUUCCUGAGCCCAGGUAGGAAGAUGAAGUCUCACAACAACCACCACACAUCAGAGGUGGGUAAGUUGUCCCUAAAAGCAUAAUAAGUAGCUUUUAAUUUUGAUCUUGUUUUACGUUGCACUUAGUUUUCCAUUAAGAUUGUUUCCAUUAUUAUCAACUGUGUAUGUUUUGGUCAAAACAGCUUCCUAACUAACCUGGGAAGCAACUGGGUGUGAGAUGGUUGAAAAUAAUGUGAAGACAGUAGUAGGCUGCAUGAGUUAGGAUGUUUAGGGUAGGACUAGUGUGUGGUAGAGGCUUAUAGUUAAAUUGUUCUUUUUUUUAAAUGUUUAUUUAUUUUUUAGAGAGAGAGAGACAGAGUGCGAGCAGGGGAGGGACAGAGAGAGAGGGAGACACAGAAUCCGAGGCAGGCUAUAGGCAUGGAGCCCGAUGCGGGUCUUGAACUCACCAACCUCAAGAACAUGACCUGAGCCAAAGUUGGAUGCUUAACCAACUGAGCCACCCAGGCUCCCCUAAAUUCUUUCUUUUUUUUUUUUUUUUUCAACGUUUAUUUAUUUUUGGGACAGAGAGAGACAGAGCAUGAACGGGGGAGGGGCAGAGAGAGAGGGAGACACAGAAUCGGAAACAGGCUCCAGGCUCCGAGCCAUCAGCCCAGAGCCCGACGCGGGGCUCGAACUCACAGACCGCGAGAUCGUGACCUGGCUGAAGUCGGACGCUUAACCGACUGCGCCACCCAGGCGCCCCUAAAUUCUUUCUUUAAGGAGAGCAUGGAGAACAACUGCUGCAUCUGCACCAUUUAUCAUGGCAUAUCAUCAUUUUGGACCCUAUGGUCUCCAGAGUCUUUCUUGAGGCCCUAAUGGGGAAUCUUGACAAUCAUUUACAUAUUUCAAGAUGCCUUGGGCUGUCUUUGAGAUAAAAUGCAAAACAAACUGUUUGCAAAGAUACAUAGGAGCUGUAUCUUUUUAUGCUGUACUUGCUGGUUGAUGGAACCUGACCAGAAAUGGCACAGUUAUCUGUCGCCACACAUCUAGGAUGUAGGGUCUAAAGAACCAGGACCCUGCAUACUCUAGGUUGGUGAUAAGAGAAGCUGAUUAGGGGGAUGUAGGUUGGGAGAUGGAGGUAAGCAUCAGUAAGUAGUAAACCCUGAUUAUAUAGAUUUUGUACAGAUUAUUCAACCAAAAGAAUAAGACUGGGAUUGAUGGUGUUUGCAGUGAUUCAGUGAGUGUUAUUAGGCAAGAUAGUUUCCUAUUUUUGCCAUAGUUUCCUAUUCUGUUGAAUGAAGAACAUGUGUUAGUUUUAUCUCUAAAGACAUAAAAACCUCAACUUUAUGUUUCUAAGCUUUGUAGAGACCCGUUUCUAUAGCUCAUUAAUUUGAAUUUUCCCAUAACUCUUGCCUAGUACUCAAUUAAUACUUCUUUAUGGCAUUUACAUUGUUUCCCUCUCAUUUUUUGUAGCUCCUGAUUGUUCCCUUCUUAUCUGCCAAAUCAUUGUAUCCCCAAAACAAUGCAGAGAGCAAGAAAUUUGAACACAUCAAAGGAAGAUCAACAUGCCUGGCAUGCUAACAUUUUAGAACAGCAGAAUGAAGUAAGUCGUUAGUGUUAUAAUCCUGUGAGGAUCACUUUAAAGCUAAUAGUUGUUUGUUCCAGGUUUGUAUAGGAUGAAGUAUGAUGGUUUAACGUGCAGGGGGUGCCAAAAGUGAGUUCCGAGGAUAACCAAUAACCUGUAUUACCAACUAGGUUCACUGAAGCAAUUCAAAGAUAUUACAGUCUGCAUACAGUUGUGUCAGAGUAAUUGAGUCUCACCUUGUUUCUUCUUAUCUUCACCGCAUAAAUGCCUCAAUACUCUUAGAGAUGUAAACUAUAGAAGCCUAAAACAAAAAAAAAUGUUUCUUUUUUUCCUGAAAUGUUUUUUUUUUCCUCCAUGGUUCUUUCUCACCUUCUCUUGUGAAAGCAUCUACUGCAGUUAAGAUUUAGUGUUCAAGGAAGCCCAGUCCCUGAAGUUGCCAUUAUAAUUGGGAAGGGUGUGAAAAUGAAGUCAGUUUUUUAAAGUGAUGGGGAAAGGUGAUGAAAUAAAGUGAGGGGAUUGACUAGAUGCUCUCUAAGGGCCCUUUAUCAUAAUAUUCACUCAUUUGUGGCAUCUUAUUUGGCUCUUUUGAAAAUCCUUGUAAACAAUUGAAGCAGGAUAUUAAAAGGUACACAUUAUAUUUAAAUCUUCUGCUACUCAAUAGGUGUAUGGCUUUUGUCAAUUUAGUUUGUGGUUAGCCUCGUAUGUGAGGCUUAAGUGAAAUGAUGUAUGUAAAGUGUUUAGUACAGUGUCUGGCACAUGGUAAGUAAAAGGCAACCCAAGAAGUUUUGUAAGUUCAUUUGACACAAUACAGGUGACCAUUAAUACCGUCUAGUGGGAGGCAGAGUUGGCAUGUUUUGAUUCUAUGUAAGAAAUUUGUAAGGUAAAAGUUUGUAAAUAGAAAACAUCUAUAUUGGUGGUGGUUGUUAUAAUAAUUAUUGUUAGUAAUAUAAAUAGUAUUGGUACUGAUGAUAGCUUAUAUUAAUUAUUAAUGCACUUUUUGGUUUUCUUUUGUUGUCUUCUUUUUGUGAUGCUUCUCAUAUGCCUGUUGUGCCCCUUACUUUAUCUUGUCUUUACUUCUUACCCUCUUCCUCUGAAUGUCUACCUUUGCUUACCUCUUUCACUCAUAAGUGUGUAUUUCUUUGUCUAUUUUUUUUCUUGAAUCUCUUUGGUUUUCCUUCUCUGUCUAAAGUGUGUCUCAGCCAUUCCAUGAUUCUCUUGUUAGUUUCUUCUCUGUGUAUCUUUGUCUCAUUUUCUUGUUCCUAAGAGUUGUCUGUGCCUUGUCUUGGAUGUCUCUCUCCAGUUUUUUCAUUUUGUUAGUGAUUCUCUUUGUUCUCCUAGAUCUGGCUCUUCUUUCACUGUUCUUUCCU
rnacentral:lncRNA from 1 species